UACGGAGGGGGCUAGCGUUGUUCGGAAUUACUGGGCGUAAAGCGCGCGUAGGCGGCUUGGUAAGUUAGAUGUGAAAGCCCGGAGCUCAACUCCGGAAUUGCCUUUAAGACUGCAUCGCUAGAAUCAUGGAGAGGUGAGUGGAAUUCCGAGUGUAGAGGUGAAAUUCGUAGAUAUUCGGAAGAACACCAGUGGCGAAGGCGACUCACUGGACAUGUAUUGACGCUGAGGUGCGAAAGCUAGGGUAGCAAACGGG
rnacentral:rRNA from 1 species